rnacentral:rRNA from 1 species
AGAGUUUGAUCCUGGCUCAGAACGAACGCUGGCGGCGUGCUUAAUACAUGCAAGUCGAACGAGAAAGCUCUUCGGAGUGAGUAGAGUGGCGCACGGGUGAGUAAUGCAUAGGAACGUACCUAUAGGUAGGGGAUAACCACGGGAAACUGUGGCUAAUACCGUAUAGUCAGGAAACUGUAAAGUAGGCUUCGGCUCGCGCCUAUAGAUCGGCCUAUGUCCCAUUAGCUUGUUGGUAGGGUAAUGGCCUACCAAGGCGACGAUGGGUAGCUGGUCUGAGAGGAUGAUCAGCCACACUGGGACUGAGACACGGCCCAGACUCCUACGGGAGGCAGCAGUAGGGAAUAUUGCACAAUGGAGGAAACUCUGAUGCAGCAACGCCGCGUGAGUGAAGAAGGCUCUUGGGUUGUAAAGCUCUUUCGUCUGGGAAGAAGGGGCCUCUUGCGAACAGUUAGAGGUUUUGACGGUACCAGAAUAAGAAGCACCGGCUAACUCCGUGCCAGCAGCCGCGGUAAUACGGAGGGUGCAAGCGCUGUUCGGAAUUACUGGGCGUAAAGCGCACGUAGGCGGAUCAGUAAGUCAAUUGUGAAAGCCCAGGGCUCAACCUUGGAAUUGCAGUUGAAACUACCGAUCUUGAAUACCUAAGGGGAUGGCGGAAUUCCUGGUGUAGUAGUGAAAUACGUAGAUAUCAGGAGGAACACCCGAGGCGAAGGCGGCCAUCUGGUGGUGUAUUGACGCUGAGGUGCGAAAGUGUGGGUAGCAAACAGGAUUAGAUACCCUGGUAGUCCACACUGUAAACGAUGGUUACUAGGUGUUCGGAGUGUUAACCCUCUGAGUACCGGAGCUCACGCAUUAAGUAACCCGCCUGGGGAGUACGGUCGCAAGGCUAAAACUCAAAGGAAUUGACGGGGGCCCGCACAAGCGGUGGAGUAUGUGGUUUAAUUCGAAGCAACGCGCAGAACCUUACCUAGGCUUGACAUUCUUCGACAACCCCAGAGAUGGGGCUUCUCCUUCGGGAGCGGAGGGACAGGUGCUGCAUGGCUGUCGUCAGCUCGUGUCGUAAGAUGUUCGGUUAAGUCCGGCAACGAGCGCAACCCUUGUCCUUAGUUGCUACCAUUAAGUUGGGCACUCUGAGGAUACUGCCGGUGUCAAACCGGAGGAAGGCGGGGAUGACGUCAAGUCCUCAUGGCCCUUACGCCUAGGGCUACACACGUACUACAAUGGCAGACACAGAGGGUCGCGAAACCGCGAGGUGAAGCUAAUCCCAAAAACGCUGUCUCAGUCCGGAUUGGAGUCUGCAACUCGACUCCAUGAAGUUGGAAUCGCUAGUAAUCGCAGAUCAGCACGCUGCGGUGAAUACGUUCCCGGGCCUUGUACACACCGCCCGUCACACCACGAAAGUGAUCAUAGCCAGAAGCAGGUGAGCUAACCUCGGAGGCAACCUACCAAGGCUGUGGUCGUGAUUGGGGUGAAGUCGUAACAAGGUA